UCACAUACCCCAUCUCACUACCCACAUCACCCCACCCAAUUCCCCUCACAUUUUUUCUAUUCUUUGGCCAUAAAGUACAAAACAAAAGGUGAAAGGGGGGCCCACAGAGAAAAGGAGCAUACAAUCCAUUUUUAUUUCUAGGUAACAAGAGAACAUAUAUUAUUCAUCUUUCUUCUCCAUUCAUACAAACAUACGCAUAGAAAAAGGAAAAAUAUACAAACACCUGAGACCAUACUCAUCACCCACCGUCACAUCUUCAUCACCACACGCACAAAAUCGCACAUUCACAUAAUACGGAUCCACACACUCACUGGUAGAGGGCUCCCAAUUUCCAUGGAAGGGAUACUCACCAUCAACAUACAGUGAGGAGAGUAUACACAGACCAUUACAGAAGAGAGCAAACCAAGAGAGAUCGGGGAGAGAGGUAGAAAGGAGAAGGGAGAUUGAGAGAAAAACAACGAGAGAGAGAUAGAAGCGAUUGAGAGAGAGAUCGAAGAGCACUGUUCCAGCUAGUGGUGUCUCACCGAAAAACUCAGCUAAAGUCGUCGUAAAAUGCCCUCUCCAUUGGAACGCGACCAGUUUCAUUCGUUCCCAGCUCCGGCAAAACAGAAACAGUUCACCCAUCGCCUGAAACGUCCUCUCCUUGUUGGAAAGAGGUCACCCACCUCAACUUUUGGCCCAACCUCUCCGUAAACUAUAAGUCGGGGAUCGAAUCCAUGAAACCCGAACUGUUUUAGUCUAUUCCGACCAAAUUUCAUCCAACAACAAUUAAAAAUCAAAAUGGGUUAGUUGGUUCAUUCGGGUUCAUUCGGAUUUUUGUUGGUUUGUUCAAGUUGUGGGUUCGACGUUGAGGUUUCAGUUGGGUCGAGGUUCGUUGCUCCGUGAAUUCCGAUCCAUCAUGGGUUUUUCAAAAUAAAAAUCAUCAAAUUGAGAAUGGAUUUGGGGAGAGAAUGGAGAAAUUGAUAAAAAAAUAAUUUGUUUAGAUCAGUUAAUUGAUGGAUGUAGAUGAAUUCGGAAGUAUGAUGAUAAGAACGUCAAAAGCGUAGGCAAAUUUAGAACUUAUGGAUUGUUUGAGUUUUGGAAUGUUUGUGGAAUGGUUAGUCUUUCUCACAUUUGAAAAAUGUAUUCGUUUAGCCGGGGAAUGCCCCGAGACAUAUUGUAUUUAUUCACCGAGGAAUUUCCCGACGUAUUAUGUUGGCAUAAGAGAUUCGUGAUGAAGGCCCAAAACGUCGGGUGGAGAAAGUAAUGGAAUGUAGUUUAGAAUUAGCAUAGAAUAGAGUAGGUUUAUAUUUUCGCAUUUUUCUAUUUCGGAAUUGUAAUAAUCAGACUGAACACUAUAAUUUUUUAUUUGUUUUGUUUGUUUGUUUGA